UACGUAGGUGGCAAGCGUUGUCCGGAAUUAUUGGGCGUAAAGCGCGCGCAGGCGGUCCUUUAAGUCUGAUGUGAAAGCCCACGGCUCAACCGUGGAGGGUCAUUGGAAACUGGGGGACUUGAGUGCAGAAGAGGAAAGUGGAAUUCCACGUGUAGCGGUGGAAAUGCGUAGAGAUGUGGAGGAACACCAGUGGCGAAGGCGACUUUCUGGUCUGUAAACUGACGCUGAGGCGCGAAAGCGUGGGGAGCAAACAGG
rnacentral:rRNA from 1 species